rnacentral:rRNA from 1 species
UACAGAGGAGCCAAGCGUUGUCCGGAUUGACUGGGCGUAAAGCGCACGCAGGCGGCACCGCGCGUGGGGUGUGAAAUCUGGCCGCUUAACGGCCAGGCGCCAUCCCAUACGGCGGAGCUGGAGUGAUGCAGAGGUCGAUGGAAUUGCCGGUGUAGUGGUGAAAUGCGUAGAUAUCGGGAGGAACACCUGUGGCGAAAGCGGCUCACUGGACCACAACUGACGCUGAGGCGCGAAAGCUAGGGGAGCAAACAGG